GGAUUAGGCAUGCAAGUCGAACGAGAAGCCGAGCUUCGGCUCGGGUGGAAAGUGGCGAAAGGGUGAGUAACGCGUGGGUAAUUUACCUCUGAGAUGGGGAUAACGGUUCGAAAGGGCCGCUAAUACCAAAUACGAUUCGGUUGACUUCGGUCUGCCGAAUGAAAGGUGGCUUCGGCUGCCGCUCGGAGAUGAGCCCGCGUCCUAUUAGCUUGUUGGUGAGGUAACGGCUCACCAAGGCAACGAUGGGUAGCUGGUCUGAGAGGAUGGUCAGCCACAUUGGGACUGAGACACUGCCCAAACUCCUACGGGAGGCUGCAGUCGAGAAUAUUUCGCAAUGGGGGAAACCUGACGAUGCGACGCCGCGUGGGGGAUGAAGGCCUUCGGGUUGUAAACUCUGUGUUAUGGGAUGAAUUGGUCGUUGCCGAUAAAGCAACGUUUUUGACGUUACCAUAGUAGAAAGCCCCAGCUAACUACGUGCCAGCAGCUGCGGUAAUACGUAGGGAGCAAGCAUUGUCCGGAAUCACUGGGCGUAAAGCGCGCGCAGGCGGUAGAGUANAACGUAAAAUCMUAC
rnacentral:rRNA from 1 species